rnacentral:lncRNA from 1 species
UGCAAUCAAUCAUAAGAAAUUAAAUAAAAAUCACAUAUUCAUGCUAAGGCUCAAGGCUUCGCCCUAGCAAUAGAAAUUAGUUCCGCAUAUUCAUAAUUGAAAUCAUAGAAAUAUCUCUUAAGAAAAUGAUUGAAAACACCUUCAAGUAGAAAAUCUUCAAAACCCUAGCACUUCUCUAUUUCUCCAAUAUUGCAUAAAAUAAAGCGUACCCUCAAACUGUAGACGGCCAAGCAAUAUAUUUGCUAAGCCACCACACAAACCCUAGCAAACUAAAAUUAAUAAAAACCCUAAAUAAAAAUAGUAAAAUUCGUCUAAAAUCUGAACAGCCACGUUUUGGCCCAUAAGCUGCUCCAAAACUGGCCCAAUAUAGCUGGAUUUAAUGUUUGGAAUAUUCUGAACACUUUUCCAGAAGGCCAUGAACCCGAGGUCAUCUUGGGCUCCAAAAACGCAAUUUAAGCCCAAAAACGUCAUUUUCCAGCACUGCGCACUGCUUCUUUAUUUCAUCGCCAGAAAAUAACCGCUUGGUGGAAAAAUCCCAAAUUUUGAUACGAUCAAGCUAAGUGACUCACAAACGUCCUCCAACUAGAAUUACUCCAAAAUUCGUCCAUUUGAUCCUGUUUUGCUCCAGAGGAAGUCAAAAGUCCUGUAUUAAAAAUACAAUUCAAAGUAUCAAAAUUCUUCCAAUAUAUUAACCAAAAUAUACUAAGAUUAGGGUAAAAUAUAUA